GCUCGGGAAGCAAUGUUGGAAUGGAAGUGUUUGAGUACCUCCAAUCUGUACUGAUUAUUCUUGCAAUGCAUUGUGUCACAAGAUGGCGGCAGGGCAGUUUUGCUGAACGUGUUGUGACACACUGUUUGUUUCAAGUGUUACAAGUUUUUAUUACUUAGCAAAACCGUUAUAGUCUGUGAGAGUUGUUAUUAAACAACAGGCAACAGCUUGUGCCCUUCCUGAAAGCCGAGAGAGAAUACAUCUGUGCUGUGACUGACGACCUAGACACGUUGGGCCGACUAGCCUUGGAUACUCCUCAACGGUCAGGUUUUUAUCAGUGUUUCGCCAUUCUACCGGAGUCUUCUGACUCCGCUUCUGCCCCGCUGUGUGGUGGAAGCCGGAGGUUGGUAUGUAUCUACGAUGUGACAACGUCUAGAUGCGCUAGGCUUCCUAGCCCAGGAUACCCCUGUCAGGUGGACUAGCCACCAGUGAUUAGCCGGUGUACUGGGCCCGCUUUGCCUCACUGCGGUCUGGACUUGCAGAAGCCCUAGGACAAGUGAACUGGAAUGCAGCCCUAGGACAAGUGAACUGGAAUGCAGCCCUAGGACAAGUGAACUGGAAUGCAGCCCUAGGACAAGUGAACUGGAAUGCAGCCCUAGGACAAGUGAACUGGAAUGCAGACCUAGGACAAGUGAACUGGAAUGCAGCCCUAGGACAAGUGAACUGGAAUGCAGCCCUAGGACAAGUGAACUGGAAUGCAGCCCUAGGACAAGUGAACUGGAAUGCAGCCCUAGGACAAGUGAACUGGAACAAGGUUUUGUUGUUAUCUGUUUCCAGUCCUGUAGAUUUCAGGAGCAGCAGAGACCUUACUCCCCCAACAUGUCUUCCCUGAUCGCCGAUAGGAAGUGAACUUGUCUACUGUCACGACUUCCACCGAAGUCGGCUCCUAUCCUUGUUCGACCGGCGUUCGGCGGUCAACAUCACCGACUUUCUAGCUAUCGCCGCUCCAUUUUUUAUUGAUCCAUUUGUUUUGUCUUGUUCCCUGCACACCUGGUUUUCAUUCCCCAAUCACACUGCAUGUAUUUAUUCCUCUAUUCCCCCUCAUGUCUUUGUGUGAAUUGUUUGUGUUACGUGUUAAUUGUUGACGCACCAGACUGGUUUCCUUAUACCGUGUUGUUCACGAAGAUGUUUAUUGUUAAACAUAAAUUAUUGUGACUGUUUUGCGCGUUUUGCACUUUUGCCUAUGGGCUGGAGGUUUUGACACAGUGGCGUCCGUCUGUUGGUUUCUCCUGCCUCAAUAAACUCUCUGCUCUCCUGCACCUGACUUCGCUACCAGUACGCACACACCUGACAUCUACAAAAUAUCCCUGUCUAAAUUAUAGUUUUUAGUAAGA